ACUCCUCUGUGGUACUGGCAUGACAUGGGGGUUAUAUAGCGGUAUAGGGUAGUAGUAGUGUAUAUAGUGAUGAGGUGUACUCCUCUGUGUUACUGGUAUGACAUGGCGGUUAUAUAGCGGUAUAGGGUAGUAGUAGUGUAUAUAGUGAUGAGGUGUACUCCUCUGUGUUACUGGUAUGACAUGGCGGUUAUAUAGCGGUAUAGGGUAGUAGUAGUGUAUAUAGUGAUGAGGUGUACUCCUCUGUGUUACUGGUAUGACAUGGCGGUUAUAUAGCGGUAUAGGGUAGUAGUAGUGUAUAUAGUGAUGAGGUGUACUCCUCUGUGUUACUGGUAUGACAUGGCGGUUAUAUAGCGGUAUAGGGUAGUAGUAGUGUAUAUAGUGAUGAGGUGUACUCCUCUGUGUUACUGGUAUGACAUGGCGGUUAUAUAGCGGUAUAGGGUAGUAGUAGUGUAUAUAGUGAUGAGGUGUACUCCUCUGUGUUACUGGUAUGACAUGGCGGUUAUAUAGCGGUAUAGGUAGUAGUGUAUAUAGUGAUGAGGUGUACUCCUCUGUGUUACUGGUAUGACAUGGCGGUUAUAUAGCGGUAUAGGGUAGUAGUAGUGUAUAUAGUGAUGAGGUGUACUCCUCUGUGUUACUGGUAUGACAUGGCGGUUAUAUAGCGGUAUAGGGUAGUAGUAGUGUAUAUAGUGAUGAGGUGUACUCCUCUGUGUUACUGGUAUCACAUGGCGGUUAUAUAGCGGUAUAGGGUAGUAGUAGUGUAUAUAGUGAUGAGGUGUACUCCUCUGUGUUACUGGUAUGACAUGGCGGUUAUAUAGCGGUAUAGGGUAGUAGUAGUGUAUAUAGUGAUGAGGUGUACUCCUCUGUGUUACUGGUAUGACAUGGCGGUUAUAUAGCGGUAUAGGGUAGUAGUAGUGUAUAUAGUGAUGAGGUGUACUCCUCUGUGUUACUGGUAUGACAUGGCGGUUAUAUAGCGGUAUAGGGUAGUAGUAGUGUAUAUAGUGAUGAGGUGUACUCCUCUGUGUUACUGGUAGGACAUGGCGGUUAUAUAGCGGUAUAGGUAGUAGUGUAUAUAGUGAUGAGGUGUACUCCUCUGUGUUACUGGUAUCACAUGGCGGUUAUAUAGCGGUAUAGGUUAGUAGUAGUGUAUAUGGUGAUGAGGUGUACUCCUCUGUGGUACUGGUAUGACAUGGCGGUUAUAUAGCGGUAUAGGGUAGUAGUAGUGUAUAUAGUGAUGAGGUGUACUCCUCUGUGUUACUGGUAUGACAUGGAGGUUAUAUAGCGGUAUAGGGUAGUAGUAGUGUAUAUGGUGAUGAGGUGUACUCCUCUGUGUUACUGGUAUGACAUGGCGGUUAUAUAGCGGUAUAGGGUAGUAGUAGUGUAUAUGGUGAUGAGGUGUACUCCUCUGUGUUACUGGUAUGACAUGGAGGUUAUAUAGCGGUAUAGGGUAGUAGUAGUGUAUAUAGUGAUGAGGUGUACUCCUCUGUGUUACUGGUAUGACAUGGCGGUUAUAUAGCGGUAUAGGGUAGUAGUAGUGUAUAUAGUGAUGAGGUGUACACCUCUGUGUUACUGGUAUCACAUGGCGGUUAUAUAGCGGUAUAGGGUAGUAGUAGUGUAUAUAGUGAUGAGGUGUACUCCUCUGUGUUACUGGUAUGACAUGGAGGUUAUAUAGCGGUAUAGGGUAGUAGUAGUGUAUAUGGUGAUGAGGUGUACUCCUCUGUGUUACUGGUAUGACAUGGCGGUUAUAUAGCGGUAUAGGUAGUAGUGUAUAUAGUGAUGAGGUGUACUCCUCUGUGUUACUGGUAUGACAUGGCGGUUAUAUAGCGGUAUAGGGUAGUAGUAGUGUAUAUGGUGAUGAGGUGUACUCCUCUGUGUUACUGGUAUGACAUGGCGGUUAUAUAGCGGUAUAGGGUAGUAGUAGUGUAUAUAGUGAUGAGGUGUACUCCUCUGUGUUACUGGUAUGACAUGGAGGUUAUAUAGCGGUAUAGGGUAGUAGUAGUGUAUAUAGUGAUGAGGUGUACUCCUCUGUGUUACUGGUAUGACAUGGCGGUUAUAUAGCGGUAUAGGGUAGUAGUAGUGUAUAUAGUGAUGAGGUGUACUCCUCUGUGUUACUGGUAUGACAUGGCGGUUAUAUAGCGGUAUAGGGUAGUAGUAAUGUAUAUAGUGAUGAGGUGUACUCCUCUGUGUUACUGGUAUGACAUGGCGGUUAUAUAGCGGUAUAGGGUAGUAGUAGUGUAUAUAGUGAUGAGGUGUACUCCUCUGUGUUACUGGUAUGACAUGGGGGUUAUAUAGCGGUAUAGGGUAGUAGUAGUGUAUAUAGUGAUGAGGUGUACUCCUCUGUGGUACUGGUAUGACAUGGCGGUUAUAUAGCGGUAUAGGGUAGUAGUAGUGUAUAUAGUGAUGAGGUGUACACCUCUGUGUUACUGGUAUGACAUGGCGGUUAUAUAGCGGUAUAGGGUAGUAGUAGUGUAUAUAGUGAUGAGGUGUACUCCUCUGUGUUACUGGUAUGACAUGGCGGUUAUAUAGCGGUAUAGGGUAGUAGUAGUGUAUAUAGUGAUGAGGUGUACUCCUCUGUGUUACUGGUAUGACAUGGCGGUUAUAUAGCGGUAUAGGGUAGUAGUAGUGUAUAUAGUGAUGAGGUGUACACCUCUGUGUUACUGGUAUGACAUGGCGGUUAUAUAGCGGUAUAGGGUAGUAGUAGUGUAUAUAGUGAUGAGGUGUACUCCUCUGUGUUACUGGUAUGACAUGGCGGUUAUAUAGCGGUAUAGGGUAGUAGUAGUGUAUAUGGUGAUGAGGUGUACUCCUCUGUGUUACUGGUAUGACAUGGCGGUUAUAUAGCGGUAUAGGGUAGUAGUAGUGUAUAUGGUGAUGAGGUGUACACCUCUGUGUUACUGGUAUGACAUGGCGGUUAUAUAGCGGUAUAGGGUAGUAGUAAUGUAUAUAGUGAUGAGGUGUACUCCUCUGUGUUACUGGUAUGACAUGGCGGUUAUAUAGCGGUAUAGGGUAGUAGUAGUGUAUAUGGUGAUGAGGUGUACACCUCUGUGUUACUGGUAUGACAUGGCGGUUAUAUAGCGGUAUAGGUUAGUAGUAGUGUAUAUAGUGAUGAGGUGUACUCCUCUGUGUUACUGGUAUGACAUGGCGGUUAUAUAGCGGUAUAGGGUAGUAGUAAUGUAUAUAGUGAUGAGGUGUUCUCCUCUGUGUUACUGGUAUGACAUGGCGGUUAUAUAGCGGUAUAGGGUAGUAGUAGUGUAUAUAGUGAUGAGGUGUACUCCUCUGUGUUACUGGUAUGACAUGGCGGUUAUAUAGCGGUAUAGGGUAGUAGUAGUGUAUAUAGUGAUGAGGUGUACUCCUCUGUGUUACUGGUAUGACAUGGCGGUUAUAUAGCGGUAUAGGGUAGUAGUAGUGUAUAUAGUGAUGAGGUGUACUCCUCUGUGUUACUUGUAUGACAUGGCGGUUAUAUAGCGGUAUAGGGUAGUAGUAGUGUAUAUAGUGAUGAGGUGUACUCCUCUGUGUUACUGGUAUGACAUGGCGGUUAUAUAGCGGUAUAGGGUAGUAGUAGUGUAUAUAGUGAUGAGGUGUACUCCUCUGUGGUAUAACUGGUUGUAAUGGUUUGAUGAUCAGGGACGUGGCGCCCUACCAGGUGGGGGCACAUUUUAUAUACACAAGAACUGUUAUAUGGCUAUUACACUAGCGCAAAAAACUUGAGAAAUGAGGUAAAUAUAAUAAACCAUAAUCACAAAAAAAACAACACAAGUCAAAAAAAGAGUGAAAAACUUGUCUGUGUUCAUAACAAGAGGGACAAUAAAGUUAUUCUGUGAGUAGUAAAGGGGUCCUGGUGGU